rnacentral:rRNA from 1 species
UACGGAGGAUCCAAGCGUUAUCCGGAUUUAUUGGGUUUAAAGGGUGCGUAGGCGGCGUUGUAAGUCAGUGGUGAAAGUUUGCAGCUUAACUGUAAAAUUGCCAUUGAUACUGCAGUGCUUGAGUACAGAUGAGGUGGGCGGAAUGUGUCAUGUAGCGGUGAAAUGCAUAGAUAUGACACAGAACACCGAUUGCGAAGGCA